rnacentral:rRNA from 1 species
GACAGAGGGGGCAAGCGUUGCUCGGAAUCACUGGGCGUAAAGGGCGCGUAGGCGGCUCGGCACGUCCGUUGUGAAAUCGCCCGGCUCAACUGGGCGGGGUCGGCGGAUACGGCCGAGCUGGAGCAAGCUAGGGGGCAAUGGAAUUCCCGGUGUAGUGGUGGAAUGCGUAGAUAUCGGGGAGGAACACCGGUGGCGAAGGCGGGUCUCUGGGCCGAUACU